UACGGAGGAUGCGAGCGUUAUCCGGAUUUAUUGGGUUUAAAGGGUGCGUAGGCGGACGCUUAAGUCAGCGGUAAAAUUGCGGGGCUCAACCUCGUCGAGCCGUUGAAACUGGGUGCCUUGAGUGGGCGAGAAGUACGCGGAAUGCGUGGUGUGGCGGUGAAAUGCAUAGAUAUCACGCAGAACUCCGAUUGCGAAGGCAGCGUACCGGCGCCCAACUGACGCUGAAGCACGAAGGCGUGGGUAUCGAACAGG
rnacentral:rRNA from 1 species